rnacentral:rRNA from 1 species
GAUGAACGCUGGCGGCGUGCCUAAUACAUGCAAGUAGAACGCUGAAGGAAGGAGCUUGCUCUUUCCGGAUGAGUUGCGAACGGGUGAGUAACGCGUAGGUAACCUACCUGGUAGCGGGGGAUAACUAUUGGAAACGAUAGCUAAUACCGCAUAACAGUAGAUGUUGCAUGAUAUCUACUUAAAAAGUGCAAUUGCACCACUACCAGAUGGACCUGCGUUGUAUUAGCUAGUUGGUGAGGUAACGGCUCACCAAGGCGACGAUACAUAGCCGACCUGAGAGGGUGAUCGGCCACACUGGGACUGAGACACGGCCCAGACUCCUACGGGAGGCAGCAGUAGGGAAUCUUCGGCAAUGGACGGAAGUCUGACCGAGCAACGCCGCGUGAGUGAAGAAGGUUUUCGGAUCGUAAAGCUCUGUUGUAAGAGAAGAACGAGUGUGAGAGUGGAAAGUUCACACUGUGACGGUAUCUUACCAGAAAGGGACGGCUAACUACGUG